rnacentral:rRNA from 1 species
CUAUGAGUUUGGAACCCUGAACAGACCGCCGGUGUUAAGCCGGAGGAAGGAGAGGAUGAGGCCAAGUCAUCAUGCCCCUUAUGCCCUGGGCGACACACGUGCUACAAUGGGCGGGACAAAGGGUCGCGAUCUCGCGAGGGUGAGCUAACUCCAAAAACCCGUCCUCAGGUCGGAUUGCAGGCUGCAACUCGCCUGCAUGAAGCAGGAAUCGCU